UCUUCUCUUUUUGUUGUUGUUUAUUAUGGGAUGUGGGCUGCAAAUUAAACCACUGAACCCGAAACAAGGAGUACGCCCGAGCACAAACCCGAGACAAGGAGUUCGCAGACAAGCACCAGCUUGUGAGCACCAUUUCGCUUGUGCUGAGGUUGUGGGCGCCGGUAGCAGUGGUCCCAGCUUCGGUUAUGUAUGCGCACGUUGAUUUGGUUCAGGGUGAAGACGGAUGAAAAACAACAGCAGCCAUCCGCGGCAGUCGAGAUGGUUGUACACCAUUCUCCUUUAUUUGGACGGCAAUGAGAACCAAUUCGCACAACAACAGUGUUCGCUAAGAUAAAGUUUGGAGUUUAUAACGGAGAUAAAGCAAACAAAACCAAUUUUAUA